rnacentral:lncRNA from 1 species
UUUUUAUCAAAGUAGCUGUGGUCAGAGGUUGCAGAGUUUGUCUGAUAUGGUAGUUUUCUGUUUCAGUUGGUCUUAACACAGAUGAAGAGAUGAAAAGAGAGACAGUCAAAGAGAAAUGAUGGAGAGAUGAGAUUAUGAUGAGACGGCAAGAAAAACAUGGGGAAUUGCCUAAAACUAAUCCUCUAUUCUUCCAAGCCUGCAACAGCUUCCCUGGAGAUUGAUGAAAUCCUAAAGGUGCUUGCCCUGGGAGUGUGUCUCCUGUCUUCUCCUGAUGGAGUCCUUUGCAUCUGGAUAAGCAGCCCAUGAGCAUGGAAAGAUUCCGGCUGAGCUGGCCACCUAAGCUGGUCACUUGGGUCCUCAACUUCAGGUCUAGCAUUAGAUUAUCAAAAUUACAUUGCUUUUUGUUAUUUUCUUUACCCUAAGCACAAGGUGUUGAGUUAAUCAUAUUCUUUGGCUCAUGGCGUGUUAUCAUCAUUGAUAGAUUGAUUUGUUCAUUCAUUUAUUUAUUUCUUCCUUUUGAUCCUAUGUUCCAUUUCUAUUACUCUCCUCCCCUGGCAGCUCUUCUGUGUUUAAUAUAAUCCUUUUGUUUUACAAGUAUUGCUGCUUUAUGUUGCAUCUACUUUUAAUUUAUGUAAAUUAUAGUGUCUUAUUCAUCUC